GUUUAAUGGUAAAGAAUUGUCGCUGGAAGAAAUUGUCAUGAUGGCUGGGCCAGAUGGAGAAGAAAAGGGAACAACGCUGAUUAGAGAAGAUUUCAUUUAGGAUCAGAAUCCGCUGACAUAGUGAGGAGCCAUCUGGGCGUCAAGUUCUGCAGGGAGAACAUUUAGCUGGAACAAGUCCUGGCGUCAUUUUCUACACAAGCCAGAAGCAAAGUAAAUUGCUGUCUUUAAAAUAUCUGAGAAACCUGAGCGAAAACAAUCAAAAUGUUGCAUCUACUCAGGAUGGAGUUG